GCGGCGAAAGGGUGAGUAACACGUGGGUGAUCUGCCUCGCACUUCGGGAUAAGCCUGGGAAACUGGGUCUAAUACCGGAUAUGACCUUUCAGUGCAUGCUGUUGGGUGGAAAGAUUUAUCGGUGCGAGAUGGGCCCGCGGCCUAUCAGCUUGUUGGCGGGGUAACGGCCCACCAAGGCGACGACGGGUAGCCGACCUGAGAGGGUGACCGGCCACACUGGGACUGAGACACGGCCCAGACUCCUACGGGAGGCAGCAGUGGGGAAUAUUGCACAAUGGGCGAAAGCCUGAUGCAGCGACGCCGCGUGAGGGAUGACGGCCUUCGGGUUGUAAACCUCUUUCGACAGGGACGAAGCGCAAGUGACGGUACCUGUAGAAGAAGCACCGGCCAACUACGUGCCAGCAGCCGCGGUAAUACGUAGGGUGCGAGCGUUGUCCGGAAUUACUGGGCGUAAAGAGCUUGUAGGCGGUUUGUCGCGUCGUCCGUGAAAACUUGGGGCUCAACCCCAAGCUUGCGGGCGAUACGGGCAGACUUGAGUACUUCAGGGGAGACUGGAAUUCCUGGUGUAGCGGUGAAAUGCGCAGAUAUCAGGAGGAACACCGGUGGCGAAGGCGGGUCUCUGGGAAGUAACUGACGCUGAGAAGCGAAAGCGUGGGUAGCGAACAGGAUUAGAUACCCUGGUAGUCCACGCCGUAAACGGUGGGUACU
rnacentral:rRNA from 1 species